GUCACGCACGCACGGCGGGCGGUGGAGGUGGGGAGGCCCUCUUGCUGCGGGGCACGGCGAAUCCCUGCGGGCUCAGAGCCAGCUGGGCUUGUCGCCGAGGCUGCGCCGGAUCGCGAGGCCGAAACCUAAUCAGGAGCUGAGCUUUAAUGGCAGCCUCUGGAGGGACAAAGAAGGAGCACAGCUGCGGGAGGUGGGCGCGAGAGGUUGGCGCCCGCCCCGGCCGACGUGCGAGACUACCGUCCGGGCGCGGGUCUCUUGGAAGGCCGGGAGGUACCUGUGACCGUGCGAGUGUGCGCCCCCCGCUCCCGCCCCGGGUUGCCGAAGCCGAGUGACUGAAGUGGGCCUAGGCAUCAGCAUUUCUGUUUGGCGCCCGGGCAACUGUGGUGCACGUUUUGAGGAAGUACUAAAGCCUCACUGAGAUGAAAAAGGCAAACGCUGACUUCACCAAAAUUACUCCCAGGGAGACUUCUGCAUUUGGCUGGAAUAACUAUUUGAGUAAACCACUGAGGCUCGGGUUUGAAACAUAAUCCUGCUCUAAGGGAGAUCCGGUUUCAAUACCCUGGGUUAAGAGACGCUUGCCUGGGCAGAGCUAAGGGAAGAGUGAUCAGAGGCCAAGCUCUGCGCCCGUCAGCACGCCACCCUCCCUCAGUGUAAUCCUUGACUGUUUCUCUAAAUCAAGAAUUAUUUAGAGAAUACAAAUUAGAAGGGCCACCGCCUUAGAAUUGCCUGAGUGGGAGCAGUCUUUCAACCUCGAAAAAUGAUAAAACGAUAUGCAGAUGACCUAGCACAAAUAAAAAACGCAGCCGCUGUUCUGUGUGAAUAGAGGAAUUGGGAGGACCCCUCUCCCAAUCUUCAUCAAACAGAGCAAGGUUUAAAAUAAAAAUAAUGAAAUACAGCCCUUCAAAAAGGGCGGCGCUUGACUAAUGUUACUGAUGUCACUCAGGUUACUCAAGGCAGGAAAGAACUCAAAUUCUACACAGUAACCACUGAUUUCAAGGACUGACCCUAAGAAUUAAGCAGACAGCCAUUCUUUAAAUAUGUUUUUUGUUGUUGUUUGCUUAUGACUUUCUUUUUUAAAAAAGGGUCUCGCUCUGUUGCCCAGGCUGGAAUGCAGUGACGCGAUAACGGCUCACUACCGUCUCACUAUGUUGCCCACUGUGGUUUUGAACUCCUGUCUUUAAGCGAUCCUCAUGCCUCGUCCUCCUGAAAUGCUGGGGUUACAGGCAUGUACCGCUACACCCUGCCUAAAUACACUUUUAUGUACUACCUCUCAAGAAACUAAAUUUAAAGUCAGCUUUUCCCCCAGCCCCUAUCCAUCUGAUCCGGUUCCAGCAAGAGCUCACCCUCCCUGUAAGACCUGUAGCAGAACACGUGUUGGCCUGCUGAGACUAGGGCCAAAGAUCAGGACCGUCAAACCUCUAAGAUGUUAUAUAGCAUAAGGGUGAAGCAUUCUGAAAGAAAGACUGAGACAUGCUGGAGGAAGUACUGGUAGUGCUAAGGGCAGGUCUGUGACCCUCGGAGCCAGAGCCAGGUUAGGAUUAACAGAAUGUGUGUGUAUGAGAGGGUGAGGGAGGAGAGAGCCUUCCUUUUGUCUCUAGGUGCCUUCCCUUGUGAUGCUCAAAGAAAGUUAAACUUUUAACCAGUUCGUCCUUCUGCAUAGUAAUUUCUUCUGGAAUUGCCCUAACCUUUUUGCAUUCAGACUUUAGGCAUUAAAUGUGAGUAAUAAACCAACAUUUGUUGAGUCCCCACUGUGUGUCUGCACUGGUUCUCAUAAUAGUCCUUUGAAUACAUGAGUCAGUCAUGCCUCUCUUGUCAUUGACAGGACCUCAACUGUUAGGCAGAAGGGACGAAUGUACUGUUUAUAUGGACAGACUGCAAGAAGGGAGGGACUGCAAGAAGGGGAGGUUCUCUCCACCCCCCAAUACACUCACAUUCCAUUGAUCUUAAUUUGGUUCUGGCUCCAAGGGACACAUACCUGCCCUUAGCACUACUAGUUCUUCCUCCAGCAAGUCUCAGUCUUUCUUUCAGAAUCCUUUGCCCUUAUGAUCUAAAACAUCUGAUAGGUCUGAUGGUCCUGACUACUAGAAGGAGAAUGCCUCUCUGCCCUCAUGCCUCAGCUCUGCCUCUCUCUCUGCAUACUGGCUUCAGGCUGUUGGACCAGCGUCCUCUGUAUGUCUGGAAACAGCCACUGAUAGCUCCCAACAUUUCACCUUCUGCCUCAUCAUCAGACAGUGUAACGGUACAAUCUCGGCUUACUGCAACCUCUGCCUCCUGGGUUCAAGUAAAUAUUGGAGUGAUGCAACCACAAGCCAAGGAAUGCUGGCAGCCACUAGAAGCUGAAAGACAUAAGGAAUGGAUUCUCAGAGCCUCAGUAGGAAAUGUGGCCCUACCAACACUUUGAUUUCAGACUUCUCAACUAGGAGAGAAUCAACCUCUGUUGUUUGAAGCCUCCCAGUUUGUUGUGAUCAUUUGUUACAGCAACCAUAGGAAGCAAAUAAUGAGGGCCUAUUUGGAGGAGGACACAAACCCAGCAGUGGGUUAGGAACUAUUCAUGCUUACAGCUACCUUAUUUAUCAGUAGUCUAGACGUCAACAUUGACUUCAUCACUUCAAAGGCUGCACCUGGGCCUAGAGUUUCAAGCUCAUGUGCUGCAUAUGGCUACAGGGAUUCCUAGAAAAAUAUGCACAAAGUAUAAGUGCCCAUCUUGAUAAGCUGAAACCAACACCCAGAUCAAGAUAUAGAACAUUUCCAGGACGCAGCAAGUUCCCUCCUGCCCUUCCCCGCGAAUCUCCACUCCCUGUGGACAUGGAUAUGACCUUCAUCACCAUCCUUUUGUUUUGCCUGUAUGUGAGCUUCACAUGAAUAGGAUCUUGUGACACACUCAGGAUCAAUACUGCAUCCUUCAGUCAAGUUGACACUCAGCAUUAACCAUCACACCUUCCCAUUGAAACUCCUUGGAUGGAUACCCGUCCGAACCAAACCCAGGAUCCAUGCCUUCUUGGAUUCUGGACCAUCUCUAUUAAAAGAUGGUCUACCUUUGGGAGGCCGAGGCGGGUGGAUCACGAAGUCAAAGAGAUCAAGACCAUCCUGGUCAACAAGAUGAAACCCUGUCUCUACUAAAAUACAAAAAUUAGCUGGGCAUGGUGGCGCAUGCCUGUAGUCCCAGCUACUCGGGAGGCUGAGGCAGGAGAAUUGCCUGAACCCAGGAGGCGGAAGUUGUGCCUUAACCCCGGAAGUCGCCUCUUCUCCACAGAGCCCUGAUUCCCUUUAGUGGACCAUGUGAACCAGAAGACUUGCUAGCAGUGUCCUCAUCUGAAGACGCCAGCCUUAGCCAGACAGUGCUUCCACCUUUCAAGUGCUUCCAGUUGUCAGUCUUGCUCCUCAGCUGCUGAAUGAGUUCAUUCUGGGAUUACAAGUGACUUCUUUAUUUUUUACUUCUAUGUGUUCAUGUAUUUUCUAUGACUCCUAUAACAAAUCGCCACAGACUGAGUGGCCUAAAACAACACAGAGGAUUCUCGCACAGUUCUGGAGGUCAGAGCAUGCAGUGGGUCACACUGGGCUAACAUCAAAGUGUCUGCAGGACUAGGUUUCCUUCUGGAGGCUCAGGGAGAAUCUGCAUCCUUGCGUUUCCCACCUUCUGGAAGCUGCCCGCAUUCCUUGGCCGGUGCCCCCCUUCUUCCUCCGUGAAGCAAACACAUCCCUCUGACCUCUCCUUCUGCCUUCGCUUUUCCUCUGCCUCCCUCUUCUAGGGCCCCUGUGGUCACUGGACAUUGUGUCCACCCAGAUAAUCCAGGGUAAUACCCUGUCUAAAAAUCCUUCGGUUGCCAGGCGCAGUGGCUCUCGCAUAUCAUCCCAGCCAGCGCUUUGGGAGGCUGAGGCAGAUGCAUCACUUGAGGUCCGGAGUUCGAGACCAGCCUGGCCAACAUGGUGAAACCCCUGUCACUUCUAAAAUGACAAAAAUUAGCCAGGUGUGGUGGCAGGCUUCUGUAAUCUCAGCCACGAAGGAGGCUGAGGCAGGAGAAUUGCUUGACCCUGGGAGGGGGAGUUGCAGUGAGCCCAGAUGGUGCCACUAUACUCCAGCCUGGGCGACAGAGAAAGACUGUCUCAAAAUAAAUAAAUAAAAUUUAAAUUUAAAAAUUAAAAUCCUUAGCUUGAUCACAUUGGCAAAGGCCUUCCACAUUAUUUAUUUCUUUAUUUUGCCAUAUAACAUGUUUACAGAUUCUAGACAUUAAGACGUGGACAUUUUUGGAGGACCAUUAUUCUGUGCUAUCACAAUGUAUUUUAUGGAUUUUUAAAUAAUAUAAAUUACUUUUGUAAUCUAAAAACAUAACAGGAGUCAUGAGCGAGAAGGCCCAGAAGGAGAGCGUACUCCUGACAUCCACCGCCAGCCCCUGGGGCGCCUCUGCCACUCGGCAGGAGGCAGAAGAGUGGGCGAGUAGGUGGGGCAGGCGAGGCUCCCGGAGGGAAGCGCGCCUUUCACCGCUCUGUCCUGCCCCUCCGGCUGCCGAAUGAGUUCAUUCUGGGAAGUGCAUUUCGAGUGACUUCCUUAUUUUUUAAAUGAAUGUGUUUAAAGGUC